rnacentral:tRNA from 1 species
CGCCCGCGCCGAGGGCGGCGACCUCACCGGCGCCUUCGACGCCGGCCAGGUACGGCGGUCGCGGGCCACCCGCGAACGUGCCGUGGGCCUGCGA